CUGCCCGCCACGCGCUCGGCUGGCCUGUGUGCCACAGCCCUCCCCACCUCCCCUCCUUGGUCUUCCCGCGGGUGCGAGCCUCGCGGCACUGGCGAGUCCCCCAG
rnacentral:lncRNA from 1 species